GAGAAAGAGAAAGCAUAAGACCUUCUAUAAAUGUACCAGGGAUAAUAAGCAUUAUAUUUUCUCCUCUGGGUGAAGCAGACUUUGGAAGUAUGGAGAUUAUACUCUAGGAAAAUCAGCUGGGCUGGAAACAUGAGUUGCUCUUUUCAGACCUCGGCGAUGUGCCUCUGAAAGAGACUUUGGUGAAGAAGGACCGAAAUUCUUCUGAUCAGCCUGGCACAGCUGCCAGUGCCCUGUGACCUCUGCAGGGAUAUAUUCAUCCCUUCAGCUGAUUAGAAUGAGGCAGUUUCUGGGAGCCCGGAGGUGACCUUCAUUUCCAGAGUUCCUGAAGGCAAAUCUGGGACACUUGGUGGACAGCAGUCCAGGGAUUCCUGUGGGUGAGAUGCUCUGCUGUGGCCUGCCAUCUUAGGACCUGCCUCCAAGAGAAGACUCUGAAGGUUAAGUGAUACUGAGACGGGGACAUGGUUGUGAAAGAUAUGGCCUGGCUUGGAAGAAAGGCUCAGCGUCCCUGUAGCUUUGUUUGCAGAGCCAAAGUCACGAUGCCUCAGAGGUAGGCAGAGGGUCCAGUGGGAGGUGGACUAGUCCUAGAAAGAGCACUUCCCCAGAUGGCUUUGGCCAUCACAGUGGGUUGAAUGAUGUUUCCCCAAAAGAUACGUCCAAAGGAACCUGUGAGUGUGACCUUGUUUGGAAGGAAGGUCUUUGCAGAUGCAAUUAUGUUAAGGAUCUGGAGAUGAGAUCAUCUUAACUUAGAGUGGACCCUAAAUCCAAUGACAAGUGUCCUUAGAAGAGGAGGAUUGAGGACACACACUGAGGAGAUAUGAAGACAGAAGUAGAGAUGGAAGAAAUGCUUCUUCAAGUCAAGGAUGUCAAGGAUUGCUGGCAGCUGCCAGAAAUUAGGAGAGCAAGCCACGGAGCAGCUUGUCCCUCAGAGCCUCCAGGGGGAAGCUACCCUAUUGACCUCCUUGGUUUCAGGCUUCUGGCAUCCGGAACUGGAGAGAAUACAUUUCUGUUG